GAUGAACGCUGGCGGCGUGCCUAAUACAUGCCAGUCGAGCGAACAGACGAGGAGCUUUCUCCUCUGACGUUAGCGGCGGACGGGUGAGUAACACGUGGAUAACCUACCUAUAAGACUGGGAUAACUUCGGGAAACCGGAGCUAAUACCGGAUAAUAUAUUGAACCGCAUGGUUCAAUAGUUAAAGACGGUUUUGCUGUCACUUAUAGAUGGAUCCUCGCCGCAUUGGCUAGUUGUUAAUGUAACGGCUUACCAAGGCAAAGAUGAGUAGCCGACCUGAGAGGCUGAGCGGCCACACUGGAACUGAGACACGGUCCAGACUCUUACGGGAGGCAGCAGUAGGGAAGCUUCCGCAAUGGGCGAAAGCUUGACGGAGCAACGACGCGUGAGUGAUGAAGGUCUUCGGAUCGUAAAACUCUGUUAUUAGGGAAGAAGAAAUGUGUCAGUAACUAUGCACGUCUUGACGGUACCUAAUCAGAAAGCAACGGCUAACUACGUG
rnacentral:rRNA from 1 species